rnacentral:rRNA from 1 species
CGGACGGGUGAGUAGUGUCUGGGAAACUGCCCGAUGGAGGGGGAUAACUACUGGAAACGGUAGCUAAUACCGCAUAACGUCGCAAGACCAAAGAGGGGGACCUUAGGGCCUCUUGCCAUCGGAUGUGCCCAGAUGGGAUUAGCUAGUAGGUGGGGUAAUGGCUCACCUAGGCGACGAUCCCUAGCUGGUCUGAGAGGAUGACCAGCCACACUGGAACUGAGACACGGUCCAG